rnacentral:rRNA from 1 species
GACGAACGCUGGCGGCGUGCUUAACACAUGCAAGUCGAACGGAAAGGCCCUGCUUUUGUGGGGUGCUCGAGUGGCGAACGGGUGAGUAACACGUGAGUAACCUGCCCUUGACUUUGGGAUAACUUCAGGAAACUGGGGCUAAUACCGGAUAGGAGCUCCUGCUGCAUGGUGGGGGUUGGAAAGUUUCGGCGGUUGGGGAUGGACUCGCGGCUUAUCAGCUUGUUGGUGGGGUAGUGGCUUACCAAGGCUUUGACGGGUAGCCGGCCUGAGAGGGUGACCGGCCACAUUGGGACUGGGGUACGGCCCAGACUCCUACGGGGGGCAGGGGGGGGGAAUUUUGAAAAAGGGGCGGAAGCCUGAUGCAGAAACGCCGGGUGGGGGAUGACGGCCUUCGGGUUGUAAACCGCUUUCGCCUGUGACGAAGCGGGAGUGACGGUAAUGGGUAAAGAAGCACCGGCUAACUACGU